AUGAUUAAAUUAUCGUUGCGAUCGGAAAAGUGAAUAUCCGUUUCUUUAAUAAUACAAGAUGAGUUUUGACUAUCUACAAAAAUUUCAGGGUCGCUAUCAAAUGAAGAUUCUGAAUCAGAUAUUUGUUCAUUACCAUUUCGUCCGGCGAGAUAAAGUCUUCUUCAGGAGCUCGUGGCUGAAACAUCAAAAAGUCCUCGUCGGGCAAACGCAAUUUAGCCGUUAUAGUUGAACCUUGUGCUUCCUCGGCAUCAAGAGAGUCAUCUGAGUCUUGAGAGACGUCGCGUGGAAUUUCGAAAGGUCUUGGCCGAUCACACCUUGACUGAGCACUCCUCCAAUAGCAAAAUCUGAGGCAUCUGUCGAGAUUAGACAGAGGGCUGGCGAGUUUAGAGAACCCUGGAAUAAAACGCCUGUAAUAACUUGCAAGGCCGAGAAAUUGAAGCACAUUUUUUUGAUUACGUGGUCUUGGAAAGUUUUUGACUGCUUCCAGUUUUUGUGGAUCGAGCCUAACACCGUCUUCUCCAAUGAUGUGCCCAAGUGAGCUAGCAUACAACAUUAUGUCAUCCAUAUAUACAAAUAGUUCAACGCCCUGAAGACCGGUUAAUUCUUGGUCCAUUAACCUCUGGAAAGUGGCAGGCGCGUUCUUCAAUCCAAAUGGCAUCCGAGAAAAUUGAAAGUGUUUGAAUGGAGUUGAAAAAGCUGUCUUGUGAGCAUCUAUAGGAUCCAUUGGAAUCUGGUGAAAUCCGCUUGCAAAGUCAAGCACCGAGAAGUAUUUAGCACCUCCAAGCUGGUCAAAUAUGUCACUGAUAUUAGGUAGCGGGGACAAUCCACACCGGUGAGCAAAAAGGCGAUACAGAGGACGUAAUUAUUUCCUUGGAAACUAAUUCUUUAACUUAACGCGUAAUUUCAUCUCUGUGUACCGGAGAAAAUCUAUAUUGCUUAGUCUGAAUAGAUACAGAGUAUGAAUGUGAAGUAGAAAUCAGCCUCGCAUGAGGGGAGCUGGUCCCUUGGAGCGGUCAAGAGGGAAUCGCUUCGUCAGCGUGAAAUAAGAAUUGGCGACGUCUGACGUGCAGAGAGAUCCCUCGUCAUCGAGCAACCGCGAACUCGCGCGCCUCCCCCCGCGAAGGAAAAUCAUUUCUUUGCUCAUCCAUUACGGAGGACGAGAUAUUAAACAAUCAAAGAGAAGCUACACGUCGACAACAGGCUAUUAAUAUAUUAUAUAUUAUUAUAAAUAUGUUUAACAUAAUAGUUAAUACUAUACCGGCGUUGUACUUUUAUUAUAAAAAUUUAAAUUUUUUUUCAAUAUGAGUAAAAAUAAGGGCAAUGAGC